UGGCCUAAUUCUCACAAUUCUCCCCUGAUUCGUCAACAGCUCAGUCUAUCAAGGCGGCUCUCCCAAUUCAAUUCGUCACCGCCUCUCCUGAGUCACCGCCUAUCAGAAACCUCCUCCCCUGAUUCAAUUCUCACCGCCUCCCCAAUUCUCGUCUGCAAUAGGUGAUUCGUGAUUCAUCUUUGCUCGAGGACGCUUCAUUUCCAGCUCAAGACAAAAUUUCCAGCGGUUUUUCCUCUCACUGACUUCGUUUUCCUCUCAAUUGAGAUCGAGGUCUUGGAAGAGAAAUCACGGUAUCCAGAUACCGUGGCUGCUAAAUUGAAGGGAACUGCAGGAGUUUAUGUUGAUCUGCUGCUACUGGCCCUAGACUGAAAGGCCUAACUGAAGCUUCAUCAUCUUAUUGUAGGUUGGAUAGAAAAAUGCGAGGAGGAUUUACAAGACGAGGACGCAGGUUGGCUCUUCUCGAUGUUGAUGAAGAAAAUGCUCUUGAGGAAGAAAAUAAUGUCGAAGAGGAAGAAGUUACAAGCAAUGUGAGAACAAAUCACUAUUGAGGUGCACGAGGAGUUGGAGCAGCAAAAUGAGGCGUCGCGCGCGGAGUUGAAGUGGCAAAAUGCGGCGUUGCGCGCGGAGUUGAAGAGGCAAAAUGCAGUGUCACACGCUGAUUCAGCGAGGCAAAAUGUGGAGUUACGCGCGGAAUUUGGGAAAGAAAAUGAGAGGGUAUUAGAACAAUUGUUUACCCUUAGCAAAAAGGUUAAUUGAAUGAGUAAAAACUCAAUGUAAAACAAUCUUAUUAAUUUUAUGUAAGUUUUGAAUUUUGAUAA